rnacentral:lncRNA from 1 species
AAGAUUCUGGGUCCUUCGCUCUAUUGAAAUCUAUCACGAAGAUCUUUCUAGAUUUCUAAUGCUGAGUAAGAGAAAAUUACACAUGCAAAGAUUUUGUUUUGACACUAAAUUUAACAACAAAGAAGCAAAAAUAUUAUUGUUUCUCGUCCACGCAAUCAAGAGAUACGCUUCCUUGUUGCUUUGCCUCGAAUCGAUCCAUCAAUAAUUCUAAGCGAGCACGAUUGUCAUAUCAGGACUCUAUGAUACAAUAUUGUCUC